UCAGGGAUGGUGCAGCCUGAAUGAGAAUGUCUGCAGUAUUUCCUGAAAUAAGUAUCCCUCAAGGAUGAUACUGUGGACCUCACUCAGGAAGAAUGUGUCCUUCAGAGAAAGCUGCGCAGAGACGUGGUGCUGGAGAAGCAGUCAUCUGGUUACUUUGGUACAUGACUUCAGGCUCCUAUGUGCAGAAGUCCUCAACCCCCAGGCUGCAGACCAGUACCUGUCCAUGGCCUGUUAGGAAACUGGCCGCACAGCAGGAGGUGAGUGGUUGGAGAGCGAGCAUUGCUGCCUGGGCUCUGCCUCCUUUCAGAUCAGCAGUGGCAUUAGAUUCUCAUAGAAGCAGCGAACCCUAUUGUGAACUGCACAUGUGAGGGAUCUAGGUUGCACACUCCUUAUGAGACUGUAAUGCCUGAUCAUCUGAGCUGGAACAGUUUUAUCCCGAAACCAUCUCCGCAACAACACCUGAUCCUGUCCAUGGAAAAAUUGUCUUCCCAUCCGUGGAACGGGUCCCAGGUGCCAAAAAGGUUGGGGACGACUGCCUAUUUGCACCGUAACC
rnacentral:lncRNA from 1 species